AUUGAACGCUGGCGGCAUGCCUUACACAUGCAAGUCGAACGGCAGCAUGAUCUAGCUUGCUAGAUUGAUGGCGAGUGGCGAACGGGUGAGUAAUACAUCGGAACGUGCCCUGUAGUGGGGGAUAACUAGUCGAAAGAUUAGCUAAUACCGCAUACGACCUGAGGGUGAAAGUGGGGGACCGCAAGGCCUCAUGCUAUAGGAGCGGCCGAUGUCUGAUUAGCUAGUUGGUGAGGUAAAGGCUCACCAAGGCGACGAUCAGUAGCUGGUCUGAGAGGACGAUCAGCCACACUGGGACUGAGACACGGCCCAGACUCCUACGGGAGGCAGCAGUGGGAAAUUUUGGACAAUGGGCGAAAGCCUGAUCCAGCAAUGCCGCGUGUGUGAAGAAGGCCUUCGGGUUGUAAAGCACUUUUGUCCGGAAAGAAAUGGCUCUGGUUAAUACCUGGGGUCGAUGACGGUACCGGAAGAAUAAGGACCGGCUAACUACGUG
rnacentral:rRNA from 1 species